rnacentral:lncRNA from 1 species
AAAAAAAAACUCUGUCCACACGUACCCGGAUAAAUACGUUGUUAAGGACAUGCCAGACCUGUAGGCGGCAGUACUUCCCCCGUUCUUAACCUCGUCCUUCGUCUGUGGUCUUCCGCAAGGAGCAGUAAUUCCGCUUGCAAAAACAAACAAGCAAAAAGCGCUUGGACAAUUGAUAAAGCGAGCGCAGCUCCGAGGCAUCCAUGCUGUCGGCUAGUGUAAACACAGGUCGCACACGUGAUGUCAGCAUUUUUUUGUCGCGGAAAGUGACGUUGCGGACCUUAAAACUCCGGUUUUGUCUGUCCACACGCAGACACCCAAAACGGAGAAAACGCAGAUCUUCACUUUGGCCGGAGUUUUUAAAAAGAUCCGUUUUCGUGUGAAAAAACUCCGUUUUCGUGUGGAUGACAGGCCAAAACGUAGAAAAAUAUCUACGUUUUGGCAGAUCCCCGGCUACGUGUGGACAGGGCCUCAGACUUUUUUCUUUGCUGCAGUAUCACCUGGAGAAAUUAAAGAUGCUGGGAAGCUCUUUGGAAGAUCAUAAAAAGGUUGUUCAGAAAACUCUGGAGGAUCUGGCAGCUGGCAUCCGUGGAGCUUUAAAGGAUGUCGACAAACCUGCUGACGUCACCUCGGACAACCUCCUAAGCUGCAUUGAUACUCUUCAUGAACGUAUUGCCACGCUGCAAAUCUACCCCAAAAGCAAGGGAACGCAUGCAGGUGUCAAACGAGACAGGAGAUGAAACGCUCCUCUGUGAAAUGAGCAGCACACAGCUAGUUUCUUAUUCUCUCAAUGAGACUUGCUUUAGCGGGUGAUGAGGAACGACGCUCCUCCAGGUCGUCUUCUGGAUGCUAGUCGUGUGCGCUCCCAUUUUCUCUUGGAACAGCGUUCAAACAGCAGCUCGUGAACUUAAUAAAGAAGUACAGAUUAUUUCCUGCAAGCAUCAAACACUUCUGGGUUUUUGGUGUUUCUCUCUGGUCAUUUUCAUCUCAACUUUAGAGGAAUUUUUCUUCACUUAGCCAAACUGAUGCAUUGAGAUCAGGCAAGUAGCAUCUUUUUAGGAUUUGUUACUUAUAAAAAGCAUGAAAAAAACAUAUAUUAAUGGAAGAAAUGGGCACAAUGUAUUAUUAUUGCAUAAUGAAGUUAGCAGUUAGCAGAGCCGCAGCAAAGAACGUCUCAGCUAGUAGAAGCUAACUGUUAGCAUUAGGAACUUCACCCUACAGCAGAACUCCUCCAGGCUUGGAGAUAAAACAGCUACGUUGCAGAGAGUCAGUGGUAAAGUCGUGUUGCUGUUAGCCAAUCAGAGGAGAGAUGUCUACAUAUCAGGAAGUAAGAGCCUAAAUCCUGCCGUCUGAGGCCCAAUCCAAAUACUCGCGCUGCGCCCUACGGUCUUCUGCGAAGUGCACUUGGAGGAAGUGCGCAGUAAGGAUUCAAGUGUGCAAAUAAUUGCCAAAUUGGGUCAAGGAGCUUUGCGUCAUCGACCGCAACGCAUGCUGGGACGCUGUGCUAAUUAAAAAAAAACUUUAUUAACAACUUUCAAACAAACAACCAAUCAAUUAUUUGAAAUAAAUUUACAUUCAUUGCUGCUUCGUCUACAACAUUCAGAGCAUCAACUAAUCAUCGUAAAAUGAGCUACUUUCCUUUGAAAAGGCACUUGAGCCUUUUCUCCCACAGAAAUGGAUCCGCAUCAGUGCAGACUUGGUGAAGUGCGGAUCAAGGGUGCAAAAGGGGCGUGAUCGACUUCUGCACUUGAGAAUCGGGACACGCCACACACUCGCACCCCUGGUUGAGAUCGUGCAACUGAAGGGUGCAAGUGUGGAAGUUUUCCUGAAACUGGUGCACCAGUGUGUUUCUUCCCCAAAGUACAACUUGCAAUGCAUUCGUUCCUACUAGAGACCACUGCAGUGUUCUACACCUUUAAAGUGAGAAAGUUGUGAAACGACUCAUUCUGGAAGGUCCUGAAACUGUCAAUAACUGAGAUCACUUGAGAGGGAUUUAGAGCUUCAUGAACGCGUUUUGUAACGACUAGAUAAGAAAAGAAGUCACAAUAUGUCUCAUUUAAAGAAGGAUCAGAUCCUAAAGGGCUCAUUUACCUGCUGUCAUUGUAACUGUGUCACACUUUUCUACAGUUUGCUGUAUAUGAUGGGGUGGGGGGGUUAAUGGACUAGUUAUUAUUUUAUAGUAAAUAAAAAGGAUCAAACUGAAUAAAAGUUUGUGUGAAACAGUUUAAAUGACCACUUUGUUUAUCAAAUAAAAAUGCAUUUAGUUUAUUUUCCUUUUAUUUUUGCCUCCACUUAAACUCUUCCUCCCCCUGAUGAUAUCUGAAUCCUCCAGGACCAUUAAACCCACCCACCACCUCCAGAAACACUUCUCAGACUUUCCAAAUAAAACGGACCCAGCUGCGUCGCGGCGCUGCGUCACAGCCGCUCCAGUUGGC